UGAGGCACUAAAGAUAAGAAAAUAAAAUUGGACAAGAAAGCAAGCAAAAUAGCUUUAAAAGGAUAAAAUUGCUGCACCUGAAACAGUGAAUAAAGUUGUUAAAGUUCCGGAAGGAUGAUUAGGAAAACUGUAGAAAGCAAAGCAAACGGCACUGGAAAGCUGUGAUGGAAUUAUAUAGAGUGAUGUCACAGCACAGGGUGACAUCGUAACAUGGGGUGACAUCACAGUAGAUCUCAUAGCCAGCUGGAGAAUGCAGCAUGACAGUAGCAGUAAAGCAAAGAUUUGAAAAUCAAAUGAAAUGAGUUUCUAGAGAAAUCCAAAAUAACCUCAAACAUUUCAGAAAGGCUUUGCUCUUCUUCUAACCCAGUAUACUGCCCACAUCUGUGGGGCCACUGACACAAGGACUGGAUUCCAGGACUGUCACUCAGGCAUCACAGUUCCGGUAGGCACAGAUAACAGCUAGACGGAGAGUGAGGGGCUCGAUGCAGCUGUCUGGCUUUGCUGGCUCGUGACCUAAUGCAGAGGAUAUCUAAUAAGAAAGGGAAGGCAGCAGACGUCAAGGAGUCUGCAGCUGCUCUGGAAACUGCAGUUUGAAGACAACUUCAGAGAGUCCGUCUUCUCUUAUUCAUGCACAUGCAUUCUGCGAGUGUCAGCAGGGAUGCUGGCCCUCUGCUGUCAUGGCAGCAGUGUCCACACACUAAAGCACCUUUAAAAAGAAGGCAGGCAGGACAGCAGCCUGAUUGGGGUUUUCAGAUGCUUGACCAGAAGACCUUGCAAAACUAUGUAGGGAAAUAACACAGUUAUGUUUAGAUUGAAGUGUCUUGUGUUAGUGAUCAUAACUCAAGAAACCUUACAUUCCAAUGAGGAAAGAACAUAGCUUGGAUUGUGGGUCAAGUUUAGGCUGUCUGAUGAAUGAAGAGAGAAUGAUUUCACAGUGAGACAUGUACUUAAUGCAGAGGAAAAAAAAAAUUGCCUUGUUUCCCAGAACGUGUGCUAGGGAAAGUGGAAGAAAAGGGAAAAUGAAACCACACAAAAUCCCUGGCUUGUACUUGGGGUUCUGCUGUCUUACCUAAGAGCAGGUGUUAAAUUGCCAGAAGCCAUCAGCCUUUGGCUGCAACAUAGCAGAGUUCAAGAAGGUAAAAGUUGCCAAAGGUGAAGGGGCUCUGGUCAAGCAAUCACCAAUGGAAAUGGAAAGGUGAAGCACACUCCUUCACUGCCCUCCUUGGUGAGCUGGGUGCUGGGACAAACUCCUGGGAAAGAAGAGAGCAUCAGACACAAUGCACCAAGCAGCACAGACGCAGAGAUCUGCUCUUUUCUUCAUAAGAUGACGUUGAUGCCUUUUGCCAAGACCUGCUUCUAUGGCACACCAGAAAGUAUUACCAGGAGCUGUAUUGUUUUAUAUGUCUCUUUUUGUUCAUCCUCUUAAAGAUUAAAACAUUUUAAGGAUAUGAAUAGCUUGAAAUGAACUAAACCAGUCAUUGUUAUUACAGAAGAACUGCCCAGAAUCCAAACAUGACUCCAUUAAAUACAUUGCUGUGUCUCCCACCAUAACUUGUCUUCUAUCUCUCACCUUAGCUUGGAACCCCACCUGCAAGCUCACCAGAUGAAGUCUUCCCAGUUUCCUUCUACUCUGAUGCCUUGGGUUUGGAUCCCAGCACAGGGCACAUGUGAGGAGGACCCUUUGACUAGUAAGGGAACUCUUGUAUCCAGAACAUGACUUUUUAAUUGCAGAUCACUGAAAAGGGGAGAGUGAUAAACAAAUAAACAAACAACAACAACAACAACAUGCUUCCUCUGGCACACCACAGGCUAAGACUGACUCCAGCAAAGUUUAGGCACCUAUUCCAGUAGCUAGUAGGCUCCAACUAUUGAGGGUGUUUCAAACUGCAUGAAAGCCAAGGACUGAGCCCUCUGGUGAGCGCAGAGUUCCCAGUCCCCUGUCCCAAGUUAAGCCUCCACCGGAUUGCGCCUUGCAGACAGGAGAUCAUGAGAAUCUUCCAGGCACAUCCAUAGCAGAGAAACAGACAGCGAGUGAGCUGAGUGUCUUCUGGGUGGAUCACCUGGAAAGGCCCAGUUUUGUGAAGAAUGUGAUAAAGUUAGUAAAAGUGACUUUGGAAAAAGAAUUCACCCAAACACAAGUAAACAAACAACCUGGAAAGCUUGAAUUUCAGAAGGAAGCCAAAGCUUUGCCAACAGUUCUUUGUCCUGCUGCACUGAGUUGCAGGAAAGCUCCAGCGGACUUGGCCCUGGGCUCACAACUGAGCUGGAAAAGACAUGGAGCAUUAUUUAAUUUUUUCUUUUUAUUAGUUAUUUUAUUUAUUGGCAUUUCAAAUGUUAUCCCCCUUCCCAGUUUUCCCUCUGCAAAUCCUCACCUCUCCUCACUCCCCUGCUUCUAUGAGGGUGCUCUCCCCACCUGCCCACCCACUCCUGCCUCAGCACCCUAGCAUUGCCCUGCCCUGGGUCAUCAGGCCUCCACAGGACCAAAGGACUCCUCUCCCAGUGAUACCCAAUAAGGCCAUCCUCUGCUACAUAUGCAACUGAAGCUAUGAGUCCCUCCAUGUGUACUCUGUGGUUAGUGGUUUAGUCCAUGGGAGCUGGGUGUGUGUGUGUGUGUGUGUGUGUGUGUGUGUGUGUCUGGUUGGUUGACAUUGUUGUCCUUCCUAUGGAGUUGCAAACCUCUUCAGCUCCAUUUGUGAUAUUUUAAUAAACAUUUUACAAUUUCUCAUCUGUUCUUAAUGAGUGCUUCAGUACUGUUGUUCUGAGUUUUCAGUGAAAUCUUCCCAGUGCUUUUGCUCUCAGCUAGAACCCAAAAACAACACUUAGCAACAACUAAUUUAACAGUUCAAUGGAGCUAGGCUAAUUUAUUUUAACUUUUAAAAAUAUUUUUAGUUACAUUUAUUUAUGUGUAUGUGUGUGUGUGAGUGUGUGUGUGUGUGCGCGCGCACGUGCACGUGCGUGCACGCGUGCGCCUUUUUGGGGAGAAGUAUGGGAUAGGGGGCUUAUGUCUGGGAAAGGGAAUAACAUUUGAAAUGUAAAUAAAAAUAUCUAAUAAAAAAACAAGUUCAAACAAUAAGAAAAUAAGGGCGGGGAGAGUUACAUCACGGAAUCAUGUGAGUUAGUACAUAACUGGUUCCCUCCCCCAAUCAUUUCAGAAUUCUAUGUUAAAAAACCUUUAUUUACCUCAUAUUUAUGCUAAGUAUACCUAUGCUCAAAAAUUAUCUUUAAAUACAUUGCAAACUGAUAUACUUUACCAAAUAAAACAUCUAAAAAUUAAAUAAAACUUUGCCCCUAAACCAGAGGAAUCAUUAGUGGAUGCCUAUAAGAAAGCCCUUUUUCUUGCAGAGAGCUUGUUUUUCAGCUUCAUGGUGUGGAGGUGAACUUUCAAAUGUGUGGAGCUGUUAUUCAAAUCUUACUAGUCAGCUUUGAACUGGUUCUCAAUCCCAAUAGAGGCAGAACAGGAGAAAAAAGUAUCUGAGCGUCUUAUUGUUUAUCCUUUAAGUUUAUUUUUAAUUAAGUUUUGAGAAUUUCAUGUCUGAGUACUGUAUUUACGUCAUUUCCCUCCGUCUUUACCUUCUAAGCCCUCCUGUGUCAUUCCCCACUCAAUUCCUCCCAAAUUCAUGGUAUUUUGUUUAAUUACUAUGGUUAUUAUGUAUACACAAACUUAAAUAUAUAUAAACAUAAAUGGCUAAGUCUAUCUAGUGUUGCUUGUAUGUAUGUAUCUUAGGGCUGGUCACUGGGCAUUAGGU